rnacentral:rRNA from 1 species
CCCUUAGAUGUUCUGGGCAGCACGCGCGCUACAAUGGUCUUCGCAAACGGAUGCAUUCUCGAAGGAGAAUGCCAAUCUUGGAAUCUAUGCCUUGGUCGGGACAGUUGCUUGCAAUUUUUCGACUCGAACCAGGAAUUCCUUGUAAUCGUGAUUCAUCACAUCACGCUGAAUACGUCCCUGCCCUUUGUACACACCGCCCGUCGCUCCUACCGAUCGAAGAGUUAGGUGAAUUGUUUUGAUCGAUAAGAUUUGACUAUGGUCAACUCUCGUUGUGAAAUUCUGUGAAUCUGACUGUUUAGAGGAAGGAAAAGUCGUAACA